rnacentral:rRNA from 1 species
CCAAUAGCGUAUAUUAAAGUUGUUGCAGUUAAAAAGCUCGUAGUUGAAUUUCGGAAUCGACGGAUUGGUCGCGCCUUCGGUGUGUACUGGUCUUGCCGGUUUCUCCCUUCUGACGAACCACGAUGUCAUUAAUUUGGUGUCGUGGGGAAUCAGGACUGUUACUUUGAAAAAAUUAGAGUGUUUAAAGCAGGCAUUAGCUUAAAUACAUUAGCAUGGAAUAAUGAAAUAGGACGUUUGAUCUUAUUUUGUUGGUUUCUAGGAUCGACGUAAUGAUUAAUAGGGAUAGUUGGGGGCAUUAGUAUUCAAUUGUCAGAGGUGAAAUUCUUGGAUUUAUUGAAGACUAACUACUGCGAAAGCAUUUGCCAAGGAUGUUUUCAUUAAUCAAGAACGAAAGUUAGGGGAUCGAAGACGAUCAGAUACCGUCGUAGUCUUAACCAUAAACUAUGCCGACUAGGGAUCGGAUGAUGUUAAUUUUUUAAUGACUCAUUCGGCGCCUUACG